CAACUAGCUGAAUUCAGCUCACUUUAGCUCUGUUCAACUCCAUUUUAGCUCCACUAGCUCAAUUCAAGCUAACAAUCCAGAAGUAGCUCAAAGGUGUCCUACGUGUGGGAGAAGUGUCCUACAAGCAUGUGAGCAGCAUGUGGACU